rnacentral:rRNA from 1 species
GCCUGCCCGGUGACUAUAUGUUAAACGGCCGCGGUAUACUGACCGUGCCAAGGUAGCGCAAUCACUUGCCCUUUAAAUGGGGGCCCGUAUGAAUGGCAUCACGAGGGCUAAUCUGUCUCCUUUUUCCAGUCAAUGAAAUUGAUCUCCCCGUGCAGAAGCGGGGAUAAACUCAUAAGACGAGAAGACCCUGUGGAGCUUUAGAUACUAAAAUUGAUCCUCUUAAUAUAUCCAAGACAAAGAUAUCUAAACAAGGAAUACAAUCCGACUAUCUUUGGUUGGGGCGACCGCGGGGAUUAAAAAAACCCCCAUGUGGACCGGGAAUAAAAAUUUUUCUUAUUCCUACAAUCAAGAGUUACCACUCUAACUAGCAGAACUUCUGACCUUAAAUGAUCCGACAAAGUCGAUCAACGGACCGAGUUACCCCAGGGAUAACAGCGCAAUCCCCUUUAAGAGCUCUUAUCGACAAGGGGGUUUACGACCUCGAUGUUGGAUCAGGACAUCCCAUUGGCGUAGAAGCUAUUAAGGGUUCGUUUGUUCAACG